UACGUAGGCAGCGAGCGUUGUUCGGAGUUACUGGGCGUAAAGGGUGCGUAGGCGGUCUGUCGCGUCUGCUGUGAAAACUCGGGGCUUAACCCCGGGCCUGCAGUGGGUACGGGCAGACUAGAGUGCGGUAGGGGAGACUGGAAUUCCUGGUGUAGCGGUGAAAUGCGCAGAUAUCAGGAGGAACACCGGUGGCGAAGGCGGGUCUCUGGGCCGUAACUGACGCUGAGGAGCGAAAGCGUGGGGAGCGAACAGG
rnacentral:rRNA from 1 species